rnacentral:lncRNA from 1 species
AUGAAUAUAUACAUAUAUUGAUGAAAGACAACCGUGGUUAAAACAAGUCAGUUACAUCCCACAAACUCUCGCACAACUCAGUAACUACCCAACUAUAGCCCCAUAACUAUGCGGUAAAAUAUAAACAAUUACUCUCACAUAACCAAGUUUCACAAACAUAUAUCUACAAGUUCCUUGGUAAACAAUAAAUAUCAAAUCAUAUACAGAGUUAUUUAAACAUUCUUCCCCACACCACACAAAACCUAUAAACUAAAAACCUAUGAUGCACCGGGACGGAUACGGGGACAGAAACGGGGACGGAAGCGGGAACGGGAAACGGCAAAAUUUAAAAAUUAUGGGUACGGGUACGGCAAAUAUAUAUUAGUAAAAAACAUAAAAUAUUUAUAAAAAAAAACAAAUUUAUACAGCAAAUCUAACAUAAUUAAAUAUAAUUUACUAUAAUAUGUCUAUUUUGCCAACUAAAAUUAGAAGCAAGAUAAUAGUGACAGUUAAAAGACAAUUACACAAGCAUUAGGUCCCGUGAAAACUAGUCUUAUUCAUAACUAAGUUCUCUAACCGUCCCCAAGCCGUACCAGUGCUGUCCCCGUGAAGUACCCGUCCCCGAAACGUUUCCGGUACCGGUACGGCAUCUAAAUAGACGUCCCCGUGCUACACAGCUAAAAACAUCAUCACUGCACCGACAAACACAAACAAACACAUACAAUGCUUCACUACAUAACAAAACAACUGAGCUCCACCAUAAUAUACAUCACCAGAUAAAAACAAAACAACAACACACACAAUGAUCAAUACACAACAAUU